rnacentral:tRNA from 1 species
GGGGAUUUAGCUCAGUGGUGACAGCGCCUGCCUUACAAGCGCAAGAUUCUGAGUUCGAUCCCUGGUAACCCCC